rnacentral:rRNA from 1 species
UACGGAGGAUGCGAGCGUUAUCCGGAUUUAUUGGGUUUAAAGGGUGCGUAGGCGGCUUUUUAAGUCAGCGGUGAAAUUUUGCAGCUUAACCGUAACAGUGCCGUUGAUACUGGGGAGCUAGGAUUUGGUUGCUGUGGGUGGAAUGUGUGGUGUAGCGGUGAAAUGCUUAGAGAUCACACAGAAUAUCGAUUGCGAAGGCAGCUCACAAAGCCAAGAUUGACGCUGAGGCACGAAAGUGUAGGGAUCAAACAGGAUUAGA